rnacentral:tRNA from 1 species
AAAUAAAAGUGUCCAGGGAUGGGAAUCGAACCCACAAUGUUUCGCUUACCGGGCAGAUGCCAUGUCCACUAGGCUUAUUUUAUU